rnacentral:lncRNA from 1 species
CGUGAUACCCAGCCACAGCCCAGAAUCACAGAGACAGCUGGAAUUCCAGGAGCCUGGCAGGCACGCCAAUGGCCUCUGUGGCAAAGGGCAAAUGUGUGGCCUGUCUCUCCGGUGCAUUAUACCAGUAGCAAAAGGGAUUGGGGGGACUGUGGCUAGAUUCACUGUGCUGGACAUUGUGCCAGCAGCUGUAGAGCACAAAAUGACUGAAGCAGCAUCCCCCCAAGGGACUUACCAUCUAUGGGGAAAGACAUAAGAGUCAGUACUUUCAGGAGAAGAGGGACUUUUGGAGACAAGAGUUGCUAAUUUGAAUUUGGAGCUUGGGAUCAUAGGAAGAGCCGGAAGGAUUAGUUAAGUUUUACAGAAAUUUGAGUAGGACUGUUUUGGUAUCUGGAAUUUCUUGCUGUCUAGCAAACAACCCCAAACUUAGCAGCAUAAACAGCCACAUCUCAUGAUGCUCAAGAAGUCUGUGAGGACGCAGGACGCAACAUCGACAGCUCAGCCCAUGCUGUCUGGGACCCCAGCUUGAGGAGACUCACAUGGCAGGGGUCCAGAAGCAUCCAGUUCCAAGAGGGAUUCCUCACUUACGU